GAUGAACGCUGGCGGCGUGCCUAAUACAUGCAAGUCGAGCGAACAGACGAGGAGCUUGCUCCUCUGACGUUAGCGGCGGACGGGUGAGUAACACGUGGAUAACCUACCUAUAAGACUGGGAUCACUUCGGGAAACCGGAGCUAAUACCGGAUAAUAUAUUGAACCGCAUGGUUCAAUAGUGAAAGACGGUUUUGCUGUCACUUAUAGAUGGAUCCGCGCCGCAUUAGCUAGUUGGUAAGGUAACGGCUUACCAAGGCGACGAUGCGUAGCCGACCUGAGAGGGUGACCGGCCACACUGGAACUGAGACACGGUCCAGACUCCUACGGGAGGCAGCAGUAGGGAAUCUUCCGCAAUGGGCGAAAGCCUGACGGAGCAACGCCGCGUGAGUGAAGAAGGUCUUCGGAUCGUAAAACUCUGUUAUUAGGGAAGAACAAAUGUGUAAGUAACUAUGCACGUCUUGACGGUACCUAAUCAGAAAGCAACGGCUAACUACGUG
rnacentral:rRNA from 1 species